ACAUGCCUACAACAUAGCGUUAAUGCAUCGGAUUCCAUUAGAAAUUCGUAGUUAAGUACACUCAGGCUAGAGUAGUAUUGGGAUGGGUGACCGCUUAGGAAGUCCAAGUAUUUUACAUGCC
rnacentral:rRNA from 1 species